AUGGCCUAAGGUGGAGCGGCUGACCUGGACACCCAGCUUUCUGACAUCAGGAUGCUGCUCAAAACCCAGCUCCUGAAAGGGUAUAUCUGGUAUCUAGUAGAUAGUCACUGGUUCAAACAGUGGAAAAAAUAUGUUGGCUUUGACAGUUGGGAUAAAUGCCAAAUGGGAGAUCAAAAUGUCUAUCCUGGACCCAUCGAUAACUCUGGCCUUCUCAAAGAUGGCAAUGCCCAGGCACUUAAGGAGCACCUUAUUGAUGCGUUGAAUUAUAUACUGUUGCCAACUGAGGGCUGGAAUAAACUCGUCAGCUGGUACACACUGAUGGAAGGCCAAGAGGCAAUAGCAAGACAGUGGUAGAGCAGGGCAUGUUU